rnacentral:lncRNA from 1 species
AAAAAAAACACAUAUAAGAAUCUGAAUCCGAUAUUUGCAGCCUGAUUUAUCUCUGUUGCUGUUCCACAAACAGGCUAUGUUAUUUCUACUCUCAAGUCUACAUGCCUUUAAUCACUUUAGGUUCUUAACCCAUAGUGCUCUUUCUUUGCUCAGCUUAUGGGUAUGAGGAGAAAAACCAAGGUCCAUAUGUCUCCUCCCCACCAUAUUCUAUCUCUGAAUCAUUCUGCAGUGUAAUAAUGGCUAACAUUUUUGACUCUCAUUGUCAGAUAGUGUUCUAAAAGCUUUGCAUAUUUUGAAUAUUUUAAUCCUCAUAAAAGCCUGUGAGGUAGCUGCUACUCUGAAUACCCUUUUGCAAGCAAAGGAAAUUGAAAUGCAAAAUAAAUGACCUGCCCAAAAUUACACUGCUAAUGUUGUUAUUAUCACACAUUCUGUUGAAUGGGGAGAUAUCACAUAUACAUCAUCCAAGGGUAAGUUACUUUUCAAAAAAUAAAUUACUAAAAUUCUAACUUGAUUUUGAUAGUUAUGAGUAAUGAUUAAGUAACAUUUAAACAUGAGCAAAUGCAAAAGAUCAUAGUUCUGGGUGGAGAGAAUAGAGGCUAAUAUUUACUGAGUGCUGCUACAUGCUUAAAGCACUAAGUGCUUUCUAUGUGUUAACUUGUAUAAUCAUAAAUACUACAACAACAUUUCAAGACAAAUCCUAUUGUUAUUUUCAUUCCACAGUUGAACUAUUUCAGGCACAGAAAAGUGAGGUAAAAUUUCCACACUGAUGUCCAACAAGUCAUUUCAGAACUAGCAUGUGAAUCCAAGCAGCAUUCCAUAUUUACAUCCUUUACCCUGUACUCUAUGCCCACCUCCCCAGAUAUAACAAUAAAAUAUCUACACAAAUCAGUGUAGGCCAGGUUAUGCUGCAGAAAAAAACAAUUCCCAAAUAAUAUUAGUGACGUUUGACAUCAAAUAUUUUUUUCUUGCUUAUGCUAUGUAACUGUUGCUAGCUGAUGAGCAAGACUCUUCCAUAUUCCCUCACUCUAAAACUCAGACUGAUGUGGUAGUAUUCAUCUUUUAUGUUGGAGUCUCUGGGAGAGAGAAUGCCACAUAUUAUCUUACAAUUCCACAGGUGACACAUUAUUCUCAUAUUUCCUUAGUGAAAACAAAAGCAAGUUAUAUGGCCAUAGGCCAUAGCUCACUAAAUUCAGGAACAAGGAGGUAAAAACUAAAUAUAUUUCCAGAAGAGGGAAAAUUUAAUAUAAAUGGAAAAGUACUGAUGUCAACUACUCCAUCUUUUUUCAGUAAUAUGAUUUGAAUUAAAAAUUCAAAAAUUAUCACUUGGUACAUAUAGUACAUUACUGAUAUAAAAAUCCUUUGAUUCCAUCAUUGUUUUUUGGGAAAAAUCAAAAAUUUUAACUUAUAAACAAAUACUCUUCUUAAAAUAUUAUGCGUACAUAAAGUUAACUCUACUUUUGAUGUAUGAUGUAAGCAUGUUACUUAGAACAUUUUUUACAGAUUAUGUUUCAGUUGCUCACCCAGAUUUACAAAUAUUUCUACUUUUUGAUUGCUUAUACUCAACAGACCAUCUAUUGAGUUGUACAGAAUUUAGUAGUAUUACCAUGGUCCUAUUCCAACUUAUUGUAUUUUAAAAUAAAUGAUCAUACUACAUGAUAUGUUAUCUAAGCAUCAUUAUUAUGCUUGCCAGAAUAAUUCACAGUAACAAUGCUAUUCCAGCAAACUUUUUUAGUUAUUUACUUUCUAACAACCUUAUCAUUAAGCAAAAUUUUCCUCUGCAAAUAUCUCAAGACUUCAAGUGCCAAGUAGCUCAUGAACAAAAAUGACUUUCUUGUUCCCAAGCUAUAUGCUUUAUUAGAUCCAAAAUAAUUUGCAUCAACUGAGAGAAAUAGUUAUGAUUUUUUCUUCCUAAAUAAUUUAAUAUAAAAGACUUCCCACAUUACCUCCUAAAUCAUGUAUUACAUUUUUGACCUUUAUGAUAUAAACAUACUGAAACCUUCAAUUCCUGCCUUACAGGAUUUACAUUUUUACUUAAUGAGAAAAUUUUCUAUUGGAAUUUUAAUUCUUAUUUAUUUAUUUUUGUGGUAAUGAGGACUGAACCCAAGGGUCCUCUACCACUAAGCUGUAUCCCCAGAAUUUUUUUAUUUUUUGAGACAGGAUCUUGCUAAGCUGCUGAGGAUGUUUUAGUCAGCAUUUUCACUGCUGUGACUAAAUGAUCUGACCAGAAUAAUUUUAGGGAAUAAAAGUUUAUUUGAGGGCUCACAGUUUCAGGAAUCUCCAUUCAUAGAACGCCUGGAGAUGAAGCUGAAGAUCAUGGCGGAAGAGUGAGGCAGAGGGAGGCUGCUCACAUGAUGAUCAGUAAGCAGAGAGAGAGACUCUACUUUCCAGACACAAAAUAUAUACCCCAUAGUCAUGCCCCACAAUGAACCAUGUUCUUCAGCCACACCCCAUCUGCCUCCAGUUUCCAUUCAGUUAUUUCCAUGAGGGAUUAAUUCACUGAUUAGGUUAAGGCUGCAGUCCAAUAAUUUCUCCUCCAAACCUUCUUGCAUUGUCUCACAUGUGAGCUUUUGGGGGAUACCUCACAUCCAAAACAUAACAGAAAGUCUCACUAAGUUCCUGAGGUCAGCCUUGAACUUGAGUUCCUCCUGUCUCAGCCUUCUGAGUACCUGAGAUUACAUUAAGAAUUAAAAUUUCACCAGGCAGGUUGGAGCAUGCCUGGCAGAAUUUUAAUUCUUAAAAAACAUCUUUUAGCAUGCCUUUUUUCAUGUUUAAUGUAAAGUGGAAUCUGUGUAUUAUUUGCUUCCUAUUUGGUGAUUCCUACUAGACUAAUUAAUUCAACUAUUUUCACUGUAAGUAAAAUAAAUAGUUAAAUAUUCUGAAUGAAGAUGUGGUUAGCAUCACCCUAAAGUUUAUUCAUUUUACUCUACCUUGCAUGUGUGUGUCUAUAUAUCCAUACACUAUAUGGAUAAAAUUGGUGUUCUCAUUUUUUGAUUCAUUUUUUUUCAACUUCAUGUUCAAAUAUAGAAAACAAUUGUGUCAAAUGGGAUAAAGACAUUAAUCAGAUUGUUAGAAAUACACAUUUUAAAUUGUUGUCAAUAUUUUGUUUCUAUUUAUACUUCUUUAUGUCACACAGGGUAAAAUAAAGAUUCACAAAUACAAGAAAUAUUAUGAGCCUAUGUGUUAUCACAGUUUCAAAUCUUGUCAUUUGAAUUUUAAAAUAAAUCCACCAAUUAAAAGAAUAUUAAUUCCUACCAUUUGGCAAUAAUUAACAUGUAAAGUCUUAAAAUAUAGAUUCUGGC